rnacentral:lncRNA from 1 species
ACGUUCUCAUGGUAACACCAUAAUAACUAAAAUCAUACAUUCACAAUGGAAAAUCUAAUUUAGAAUAAUAUACAAUGAUUUAAUAUAAUUAUUCCCUCAAGUCUCGCAACCUAUAGUACUUAAUAGAUUACGUAAUAGUAUCAAAUAAAGACAUAUUACAUAAUCCUACUUAAGUUUAAACAUAGUCUUAGUACAUCAUAAUAGUCUUAAACAUAAAAGGAACAAGGUAGUCGGUAGCUUUUCCCUUGCCCUUGCCUGUUCUAGAGAAACCACCAUGUUCCUCCUUAACUGAAAGGUUUUAAAUAAGCAAGGAUGAGCACAACUUGCCCAUCA